AUGAGUUGUACCUCUGCUGUUAAGAAUCUCUCAUGGUGGUAUAAUGGCACCACUUUUUCUGACGAAAUGCGCAUUCUGGACUUGGGAGGUUAUGAUGCAGUGUUGGGCAUGGAUUGGUUGAAGAAAUUCAGUCCUAUGGUCUCUGAUUGGGCAAACAAGCGACUGAUAGCACCCAAAGAUGGACAAUGGAUCACUCUGCAAGGUAUGCAACUUGGGGUUCAGUCUGAAUUGUUGGAGAUCAGUCCUGAACAAUUGGACAAGUGCAUCUCAGGCAAUGAUGUAUGGGCUCUUGCAAUACUAGAAUCAGUGAUGCCACCUGAUGUUGCUUCUAAGCCAACGGCCAUUGCUCCUGAUCUACAAGCAUUACUAUCUGAAUAUGGUGAUAUCUUUCAAGAGCCGAAGAACUUACCUCCACACCGCGCAUUGGAUCAUGCUAUCACUCUUGAGCAAGGUAUACCCCCAGUCAAUGCUCGUCCCUAUCGCUAUUCUCCUUUGCACAAGGACGAGAUUGAGCGCCAGGUCGCUGAAAUGUUAUCAUCUGGAGUUGUUGUGCCCAGCAUGAGUCCAUAUGCGUCUCCGGUCCUGUUAGUCAAAAAAAAGGAUGGCCAAUGGCGUUUCUGCGUAGAUUAUCGCAGAUUGAACAGCAUCACCAUAAAGAAUAAAUUUCCUUUACCAAUUGUGGAUGAAUUGGUGGAUGAACUUGCCGGCACUAAGUUCUUCUCUAAGCUCGAUCUGCGGGCAGGUUAUCAUCAGAUUCGAAUGAGAGAGGAUGAUGAACCCAAGACGGCCUUCAAAACACAUCAUGGGCAUUUUCAGUUUCGAGUAAUGCCCUUUGGCCUUACCAAUGCACCGGCCACAUUCCAGUGUGUGAUGAAUUCGGUAUUUUCUCAGUACCUUCGCAAAUUUGUGAUUGUCUUCUUAGAUGAUAUCCUCGUGUACAGUGCUUCCUGGGAAGAGCAUCUUCAACACCUUCGGCAAGUCCUGGAGCUUUUGCGACACAAUCAGUUUUUUGCCAAGCUAUCUAAGUGCUCUUUUGGUCAAACAAGCAUCAAUUACCUGGGCCAUAUUAUUUCGGACAUGGGUGUCGCCACCGACCCUGAAAAGACAAGUGCUAUGGAGAAAUGGCCUGUGCCAACAAAUGUUUCUGAACUGCGAGGUUUUCUUGGACUCACAGGCUACUACAGAAAAUUUGUACCAAGGUAUAGUUGGAUCACUAAAUCUCUUACACGGUUACUUACCAAGAAGGGUUUUUAUUGGAAUGAGCAGGCACAGCAAGCUUUUGAUACUCUGAAACAGGCCAUGGUUAACACACCUGUGUUGGCCUUGCCGGAUUUUCAAGUUCCCUUUGCUGUCGAAACAGACGCUUGUGCUACUGGGAUCGGUGCAGUCCUCAUGCAGCAAGGGCAUCCGAUAGCAUAUUUGAGCAAAGCUCUUGGUGUCCAAGAUAGCAAGUUAUCCAUCUACGAGAAAGAAUUUCUUGCAGUCAUUAUGGCCAUUGAUCACUGGCGCACCUAUUUGCAGCGAGGGCCUUUUGUUAUUUUCACUGACCACAAAUCCUUGUGUGCGUUGGGUGAUCAACAGCUGGGUACUGAGUUACAGCACAAAGCGAUGUCGAAGCUAGUGGGCUUACAAUUUGAAUUUCGCUACAAGCGGGGUGUGGAUAAUAGUGCUGCGGAUUCCUUGUACAGGGUUGGCCAUCUUCUUAACUGUCAAGCCCUUACUUUGUGUCAACCUGAUUGGCUGUUAGAGGUCCUGCAUACUUAUGAUAUGGAUAGUACUGCUCAGGAUCUUCUCAGUCACUUGGCUAUUCUAUCACCCGAUAACAAGGGCUAUGCUUUGACAAUGGUCUCAUUAAGUACAAGGGUCGAUUGUACAUUGAUGCCAGCUUAG
rnacentral:rRNA from 1 species